GUUUUUCAGGAAUUUCUUUCAGGUUCAAAUGUCCUUGGCUGGAAGGAGACCCACACAGACACAUUUGGGAGAAAUCUGAUAAUGGCUGAAGAGUUUGGGACAAACCUGAGGCACACGUGGGGCUUAAUGUUCAGGUUGUGAGUGUUCGUUCAGCACCCUUUGUUUCCUGACUGGACUUUGAAAGGAGGCCACCCUCUUGCCCUUCUUCGGUGGAACAAAACAGACAAAAUAUGCAGAUUCUUAACUCAACACACCACGUUGAAUAGCAUGUGGAAAAUUGGCAUUUCCAGUGAAUAAAAAUUAACUGGCAAACAACAAAAGGAAAAACGGAGGAAUGCUGUUGGAUGCUGUUUGGCUCGUCUUGUCUUGUCAGAGAAGGAACACGUGUGAAUCAAAUGGUUGAAGAUGAAUUUUACCUACACGUCUGGCUCCUGUUCAGAUGUUUUAGAUUUCUUAGUCAACUUUAUUUGCUUGGAGCAAGAAGAAUACAGGUACAGUGCCUGGCUACCCUAGUUCCUCAGGUACAUUUUCCACUUUCCAUGUUCCUAUACGACAGUGUCACAGAUUUCUGCCACUGUGUCAUAAAGAUCACUUUCCUCCUGUAUCCAGCAACAUUCUCUCACAUUCCUGUGAGCCCUCCCAACAGCCUCAGAGGUGGCUAA
rnacentral:lncRNA from 1 species